rnacentral:rRNA from 1 species
AUGGCACUCGCGGCUCCGUCGCCCCCCUUCCAUCGUGCGGGCCAUAGCCAAAUCGACCUGCCGCCGCGGAACCCUUUGCUUGUGGGAUGCGCCGGCGGUGCUCGGCGGGCGGGAUCCUCCUCCGCAAGCCCCAGCCAGUCCGCUCGCAUCGACAGGCGCCGAGAACCUGUCUCUCCAACGGCGUGUGAGGCUACGCCGGCCGCAUCGCCGGAGCUUCCAGAAGACAUCCUGAUGAUGGUCCUGGCCACACUCGAGAUCCCCAACCUCGUGCGCGCCGGCGGCGUCUGCGCCUCGUGGCGCUCUGCAUACACCACACUGCGCAGAAGCAGGCCCAGACGUCGUGCCUGCUCUACACCUCUGAAUCUACUGGUGAGCAUGUUGCGUGCCUCUACAGCCUUGUGGAGAGGAGGGUCUACAAGCUGA